GCAUAUCAGGAUUCAAACCAAGCACUGGGAUCGCUAGAGAAAAAAUCGUCACAAAAAGGUUUGUUUUCAGUGCUUCCACGAUUGCUUCUCUUAGGUCAAAAUAUACAGAUAAUAAAGCCAAUGAGAUAAAGCCAAGUCGGAUUGAGGCCUUGUCAGCAUUUAUAUGGGCCCGGUUUAUAGCCUCCACUCAAGGAAGCCGAACCCCAACACUCUUUACAGAGUGCUUCACACCGUUAACUUGCGGACGAGGAUGGACCCACCACUGCCUGAAUACCAUUUCGGGAACGUGAGCCGGUUUGUCAUGUCCUCGCCGUCGUUUGACGAGGGAGAGGACACGUGUUACGGGAUCGUGAGCCAGAUGAGGCAGGCUAUAAAGACGAUCGACGGUGAUUACAUAGCCAAAAUCAAAGAGGGCAACGAGCUCUUGGAGUUUUUGAAGCAGCGAAUGGAGGAGUUUAUGAAGGGUGAAGUAGCGUCGUUUAGCUUUACCAGCUUGUGCAGGU
rnacentral:lncRNA from 1 species